rnacentral:tRNA from 1 species
AGGGGUAUGGCUCAGUGGCAGAGCACAUGCCUAGCAUCCGUGAAUCUCUGGGUUUGAUCCCCAGCACCUCCC